AAAACUCCUAAGGCCGUUUCAUGGUUGUGCCGAGGCUCCACGCAGAGCUUUCACCGUAGCCUACGUAAGUGGCCUGGUGUCAUACUGGUUGCACUGG